GGGGCUGAAAGGUUUCGACAGCGUGAUUGAAAACUGAACAGCGGGCAGGUGUUCUCCACGAGCUACCUUGAGUGAACGUGGAAACCAAAAUAAGCGCCAACACUGACAGCGCACGGUUCACUGACGCCGACUUCGCCGAGAUCGAGGCUUUCGCCAACAACUCGGUGCUGGUCUAACCAGUGACCUACCGGGACCAAGCUAACCGCUCGCAGCGGACCCGGUAUCAUCUUUAGAAGCGGUAGAACGGACGGCUUGUGGGUCGCGUCGCUAAACAUGACCCUCUCUCCGCCGCAGGGGAUGAUAGAAGCGGCUUUAACGCGCAGAUGGCGUCUCGCCCGAUCUGCCGUCGAGAAGAUAGCGAGACUACGCCCGUAGAACGCAGAAGGAUUGACCGUUGGACCCGGGUUCAACUCCCGGCAGCUCCACCA
rnacentral:tmRNA from 1 species